GAUGAACGCUGGCGGCGUGCCUAAUACAUGCAAGUCGAGCGAACAGACGAGGAGCUUGCUCCUCUGACGUUAGCGGCGGACGGGUGAGUAACACGUGGAUAACCUACCUAUAAGACUGGGAUAACUUCGGGAAACCGGAGCUAAUACCGGAUAAUAUAUUGAACCGCAUGGUUCAAUAGUGAAAGACGGUUUUGCUGUCACUUAUAGAUGGAUCCGCGCCGCAUUAGCUAGUUGGUGGGGUAGUGGCUUACCAAGGCUUUGACGGGUAGCCGGCCUGAGAGGGCGACCGGCCACAUUGGGACUGAGAUACGGCCCAGACUCCUACGGGAGGCAGCAGUGGGGAAUAUUGCACAAUGGGCGGAAGCCUGAUGCAGCAACGCCGCGUGCGGGAUGACGGCCUUCGGGUUGUAAACCGCUUUCAGCAGGGGCGAAGCUUGUGGUGACGGUACCUGCAGAAGAAGCACCGGCUAACUACGUG
rnacentral:rRNA from 1 species